CUUUAUUGGAGAGUUUGAUCCUGGCUCAGGAUGAACGCUGGCGGCGUGCCUAAUACAUGCAAGUCGAGCGAAUGGAUUAAGAGCUUGCUCUUAUGAAGUUAGCGGCGGACGGGUGAGUAACACGUGGGUAACCUGCCCAUAAGACUGGGAUAACUCCGGGAAACCGGGGCUAAUACC
rnacentral:rRNA from 2 species